CCAUGGCUGUGGGGAACACCGGAAGCGGAAGAGAAGAGGCGAGUGCGGCGCCGACGGCGGACAGAGCCGCCCUUCCGGGAGCCGGAGGCUGGAGAGCUGGGGAAGAGCGCUGCCCUCUGGUAGGCGGGCUUCACCGGCCUUCAGCAAAGGGCGGCCGGGAGGUCGGAGAACGUGAGACACGUGGGAAACUUAUUAAAGCCCUGAAUCGGGGUGCGUCAGCGGUUAAUUCUGUUCUGUGGGCUUAGGGUGAGCCCGAAAAUCUGCAUUUUAACAAGCCUCCCAGAGAUCGCACGUAGACAAACACGAAUCCAGUUUCAUUUCCCUGAGGGCUGUUUUUGGUAGGAGCAAAGUAGAGAUUUGGAGAUGUAUUGGUCUUCUGGGAAAACGUCAAGUAAACAGUCCCAAUGUACUAAAACAAAGGCGAGAGUGUACCAGGCACUGUUUGUACGUGCGAAGGGCGGGGGUGGGAGGGGCGUUCAUUUAAUCUUUGCAUCAACCCACUGAGGUGCUACUAUCCCCAUGUUUUUUGGCCGGGCCAUGCCGCAUGCAGGAACUUAGUUCCCCAACCAGGGAUGGAACCAGUGCCCACUGCAUUGGGAGCCGCAAGUCUUAACCACUGGACUACCAGGGAAGUCCCUAUUGUCCCCAUUUUAGAAAUGAGGAGAUUGAGGCACAGUACAGGGUUGCUGCAAGUAUUUCUGGAGGAUGGAUUUCAAGAUGUGGGUUUGCUGGCCAAAACGUAUGAACAUUUAAAAUUUUGGAACUAAGGUCCCCACGCAGGUGCAGGAUGGUAAACUCAGGCUGAGAGCAAGAUUCCUGCAGCACCGCCCUGUUACCUCACCACCAACCAAUCAGAAGAAAGUCUGCACACAGUGGAAGAUAAGGAAGACUCUGACCCUCUCCCCAAAUGAUUCUCCCAGAAUCUUUGGAGUCCGCCUUCUCCCCAGGUUGCUGACCUCCUGAAUAAAGCAAGCUUUUUUUCCAACCA